CCUGAAAUUGAGAAAGUCGAGAAUGCGUUUUCGAUGUCGGAAACACGUUUUUUUUUUAAGAAAAAAAAAGAAAUGGCUUAGGCUGGCAGAGAGAGGUGAGAGCACUGAUCAACACUGCUUCACAAGAAGAAGAGGAAGAAGAAGAAAAAGAGGACUUACUUGGCAACGACGGCACUAGAUCAGCGAUGCGGCGAUGGCAUCACAGGCUGGCUUGUAGCAUGGGGGUUUGGUUGUGAUUUAGCUCGAACUUGCUUUUAGAGGGGACUCAAACUGGAUUUUUGUGAUACCGCCUUCCGUUCGUCUCUCCUGGUGUCGAAAAGGAACCGACCCGAAGACAUGAGGUCUAUCGGUGCAUCAAAGAAUUUCGUUUUGAGAAGGCUAGCAACUGACACAUGGCUACACUCUAAUGGCUCUCAUAGCCUUCGAGUCAAGGGAACGAAGAAAGGAAGUGGUAGCUACAUCUGAACCGACCUCUCUUCCAUCAACAUAAAGCAAGACAAGUUAAGGCCAAAAUAUUUUUUCUUUUUUGAAUAAUACAAUAUUACCUACCAGUCAUAGGCACUUGAUCUCCCAUUGCGGGGAAGGGAAUUUUUUUUUUUUUUAAUACUCUUUGGCUCUGAUUUGGCAAAUAUAUAUAUAUAUAUAUUGAAACAUCAUGAA